AGGUGUGAUCAUACCAGCACUAAUGCACCGAAUCCCAUCAGAACUUUGAAUUUAUACGUGGUUGGGUGAGAGUAGUACUAGGACGGGUGAUCUCCCGGCAAGUCCUCGUAUUGCACCCC
rnacentral:rRNA from 1 species